CUCUCGUGACCUAAUCACUCACCGGAGGGAACACUCUUGGACUGUAGCUGUCAACUGUGCAAUUCAGGUAGAAACCCCAAGGCACACAGAGAAUCAAUAACUAGGUGAAACUAUCAAGGAAUGGAGCUGGGUUUGGAACUAGCGAGGCUAACUAUUAGCGCUUGUUUGUCCACAACAACUUCCCUGGAGAUGGAACAAUGAAUGACACACAAGAAACUCAACACAUCAAAGACUGCUGAGAACUAAGACACACUCCACGACUUAAGAAGCUGAAAAAGUAGUAGACCCAAGGCUCAGCUCUUCCACUGACUUGCCAGAGAACCUUAGUGGUCACGGAGAAGCCUAGAGGACGAAGCAAAUAUCCUGGGGAAAUUGGAGAAGAAAAGAUGUUGAACGCUGGGAGGAUGCCAA